GAGCUUGCUUCGGCAACACAUGCACUAAAGUUGGGACAAUAUAGAGAGAAUUAGCACGGCCUCUGCACCAGGAUGACACAAAUUUGUGAACCGUUCCAUAUUUUC
ensembl:snRNA U6 U6 spliceosomal RNA